UUUCCAAAUGCCACUUGGCAAUCGUCAUUCCACCUGACCGUUUGAUCUUUUCUUUUUUUUUUUCAACAGCUUGAAUAUGGGUUCACACGUGGCUGUUAGAUGAGAUAUGAACCAUGACAUGUAGUUCAAUCUACCUAAGAGACCACGAACCUCUUUUUAUGUUCUCGGUUCAGGCCUUUCUUGUAUUGUUUUUUCUUCUUUUUUUUUCUUUUUUUUUUAGCAGGAUCAACCUCGAUUCCUC
rnacentral:lncRNA from 1 species